AAACCAGCACCUCAAGUGGUCAGGAUGAUUAUUGGGCCUAAAGCAUCCGUAGCCUGGUGCAUAAGUUUUCGGUUAAAUCCAUAUGCUCAACAUAUGGGCUGCCGGGAAUACUGUGCACCUAGGGAGUGGGAGAGGUAGACGGUACUCGGUAGGAAGGGGUAAAAUCCUUUGAUCUAUUGAUGACCACCUGUGGCGAAGGCGGUCUACCAGAACACGUUCGACGGUGAGGGAUGAAAGCUGGGGGAGCAAACCGGAUUAGAAACCCGUGUAGUCC
rnacentral:rRNA from 1 species